UUGGAUAUGCUAUACCAAAUAACUGCAGGAUUAUCAUCGUUUCCACUUUCCUGUCUCUGGAACUAUUGAGAAAUUUAUUGAAAUACCUGGAUGCCUAUAUACGGUGAAUCCUAUUGCUGUGAAUAGCAAAUACUGCAAUGUUUUCACAGAGAAUAAGAGGGUUGUGGCUAUAAUUUCCACAGAAUACUUCGGGAAGGUUGCAUUUGUUGCAACUGGAGCAACAAUGGUUGGCAGCAUUAAUUUCUCCAGAAAGGAGGGUGACUAUGUUAAGAAAGGGGAUGAGUUUGGAUAUUUUUCUUUUGGUGGAAGUACUGUAAUUUGUGUCUUUGAAAAGGAUUCCAUAAAGAUAGACGAGGAUCUCUUGGAAAAUAGUGCAAGAUCACUUGAGACCCUGGUAUCUGUAGGAAUGCAGUUGGGUCUCUCCGUAAAGAAGCAGGAUUAACAUGAAGCUGCCAAGUUUCAGAAACCUUUCAUUAUGACCUUGAUAUGUUCAUCAACUGUGUAGAGAUUAGUCCUAGAUGAUUGCAAAAAUGAUUUGAGCUGAUUACUGUGCACAAUUUGUUUGGGACUGAGGCGUAGUUGUUGUUGUUGUUGUUGUUUUGCUGUGCACAGUUUGUAACUCUUAGGUCUGUCUUCUAAAUUAUGUGUUACUUAGUAAUUUUCUUCAUUCCUCAUUAAGAUACUAAUAACAAGAAUUAGCAUUAGCUAUCAUUCA